rnacentral:tRNA from 1 species
GGCCCUUUAGCUCAGUUGGUUAGAGCACGUGACUCAUAAUCGCUCGGUCGCUGGUUAAAGUCCAGCAAGGGCCACCA